AUUGAACGCUGGCGGCAGGCCUAACACAUGCAAGUCGAGCGGAUGAAGGGAGCUUGCUCCUGGAUUCAGCGGCGGACGGGUGAGUAAUGCCUAGGAAUCUGCCUGGUAGUGGGGGAUAACGUCCGGAAACGGGCGCUAAUACCGCAUACGUCCUGAUGGAGAAAGUGGGGGAUCUUCGGACCUCACGCUACCAGAUGAGCCUAGGUCGGAUUAGCUAGUUGGUGGGGUAAAGGCCUACCAAGGCGACGAUCCGUAACUGGUCUGAGAGGAUGAUCAGUCACACUGGAACUGAGACACGGUCCAGACUCCUACGGGAGGCAGCAGUGGGGAAUAUUGGACAAUGGGCGAAAGCCUGAUCCAGCCAUGCCGCGUGUGUGAAGAAGGUCUUCGGAUUGUAAAGCACUUUAAGUUGGGAGGAAGAGCAGUAAGUUAAUACCUUGCUGUUUUGACGUUACCAACAGAAUAAGCACCGGCUAACCUCGUG
rnacentral:rRNA from 1 species